GACGAACGCUGGCGGCGUGCUUAACACAUGCAAGUCGAACGGAAAGGCCCUGCUUUUGUGGGGUGCUCGAGUGGCGAACGGGUGAGUAACACGUGAGUAACCUGCCCUUGACUUUGGGAUAAAUUCAGGAAACUGGGGCUAAUACCGGAUAGGAGCUCCUGCUGCAUGGGGGGGGUUGGAAAGUUUCGGCGGUUGGGGAUGGACUCGCGGCUUAUCAGCUUGUUGGUGGGGUAGUGGCUUACCAAGGCUUUGACGGGUAGCCGGCCUGAGAGGGUGACCGGCCACAUUGGGACUGAGAUACGGCCCAGACUCCUACGGGAGGCAGCAGUGGGGAAUAUUGCACAAUGGGCGGAAGCCUGAUGCAGCAACGCCGCGUGCGGGAUGACGGCCUUCGGGUUGUAAACCGCUUUCGCCUGUGACGAAGCGUGAGUGACGGUAAUGGGUAAAGAAGCACCGGCUAACUACGU
rnacentral:rRNA from 1 species